AACACCCUGCGGGGUGCGUGAUGAUUCGUAUUUAAACCCACAAUUUUCUUUCGGGAUGCCCACCUCGCUUGGUGGUUUGCAGGCCUCCCGGCCCUCGGGCUGGAAGUUGGAAGCAGUAAAGCUUGGCGGAGGCAACCCACCUGCCCUUUUGGUGCAGGUUUAAAAGGAAUCACACGGCUACCGCGGGGCUUUU
rnacentral:other from 1 species